rnacentral:rRNA from 1 species
GAGUUUGAUCAUGGCUCAGAACGAACGCUGGCGGCGUGCUUAACACAUGCAAGUCGAACGCGAAAGUUUCUUUCGGGAAACGAGUAGAGUGGCGCACGGGUGAGUAACGCGUAAGUAAUCUACCCUGGUAUCUGGGAUAACCCACCGAAAGGUGUGCUAAUACCGGAUACGCUGAUUUAUCAGGAAAGGUGGCCUCUUCUUGAAAGCUAUCGUACCAGGAGGAGCUUGCGUACCAUUAGCUAGUUGGUAGGGUAACGGCCUACCAAGGCGACGAUGGUUAGCGGGUCUGAGAGGAUGAUCCGCCACACUGGCAACUGGAACACGGACCAGACUCCUACGGGAGGCAGCAGCUGAGGAAUAUUGCGCAAUGGGGGAAACCCUGACAGCAGCGACGCCGAGUGGAUAGAUGCAAGGCCUUCGGGUCGUAAAAUCCUGUCAGAUGGGAACGAACAUGCUAUUGGUAAUAC